rnacentral:rRNA from 1 species
UAUGGUAGCCAGCAGCCGCGGUAAUACGUAGGGGGCAAGCGUUAUCCGGAUUUACUGGGUGUAAAGGGAGCGUAGGCGGCGGAGCAAGUCAGAAGUGAAAGCCCGGGGCUCAACCCCGGGACGGCUUUUGAAACUGCCCUGCUUGAUUUCAGGAGAGGUAAGCGGAAUUCCUAGUGUAGCGGUGAAAUGCGUAGAUAUUAGGAGGAACACCAGUGGCGAAGGCGGCUUACUGGACUGACAAUGACGCUGAGGCUCGAAAGCGUGGGGAGCAAACAGG